rnacentral:rRNA from 1 species
GACGAACGCUGGCGGCGUGCUUAACACAUGCAAGUCGAGCGGUAAGGCCCUUUCGGGGGUACACGAGCGGCGAACGGGUGAGUAACACGUGGGUGACCUGCCCUCAGCUCUGGGAUAAGCCUGGGAAACCGGGUCUAAUACUGGAUAUGACUCCAUGACGCAUGUUGUGGGGUGGAAAGCCUUGUGCGGCUGAGGAUGGGCCCGCGGCCUAUCAGCUUGUUGGUGGGGUGAUGGCCUACCAAGGCGACGACGGGUAGCCGGCCUGAGAGGGCGGCCGGCCACACUGGGACUGAGACACGGCCCAGACUCCUACGGGAGGCAGCAGUGGGGAAUCUUGCGCAAUGGGCGAAAGCCUGACGCAGCGACGCCGCGUGAGGGAUGACGGCCUGGU